UACGGAAGGGGCAAGCGUUGUUCGGAAUCAUUGGGCGUAAAGGGUGCGUAGGCGGGUCUUUAAGUCAGGGGUGAAAUCCUGGAGCUCAACUCCAGAACUGCCUUUGAUACUGAAGAUCUUGAGUUCGGGAGAGGUGAGUGGAACUGCGAGUGUAGAGGUGAAAUUCGUAGAUAUUCGGAAGAACACCAGUGGCGAAGGCGGCUCACUGGUCCGGUACUGACGCUGAUGUGCGAAAGCGUGGGGAGCAAACAGG
rnacentral:rRNA from 1 species